AUGAAUCCAGCUUGUGUCAAAUUGGCAAAUGCUACCCAGAACAGCACCCUAAUCCUGCAGAGUUGGGUUGCUUAUUCUCAGCCGCAUCCCUGAGCAUCCCUGCUUUUAUUUCUUAUCAUUGCCUGAUUCUAUGUUCAAAAUGCCUCCAAAGUGCCAACCUGGGACUGUGCAGGUGCCACAAACUCCUCAUAGUUUGAUCUCUGUGCCUAUCAAUUUUUGCAAUGCUGGAAUGGGAGCCAAGUCGAGAACACAUUAGUCUAGCAUUCUACCUGAGCACUGAGCUAGACCCAUAGCACUUACCAUUUUUAUUUAAGGGAAGGAUUCUUGGAACAGUAGAAUAGAAAUCUCUACUGGUACUCCCACCACAUGCAUGGUGUCUUCUCCUAUGACUUUUGCCCAUUUUAUGUGAAACAAAGACCACAGCCUAGGCUUUAUUCAGGAAGGAAAGCAGAAACCAAAAGCCUUCCCCAGGAUGGAGAAUUCUCAGGAGGAAGAGCACACAGGUGUGGGUCCAGCCCAUCAGGGAGUAGGUUUGUUCACAUACAGAGUUGGCCGGAACCAGCCACCCACUGCUCUUGGCUUUCAAAGGGAACAGUGUGUGCCUGGCAUCCAGAUGCCCCCUGUGAACAGCGAAGAGGCACUGAUGGAUGGCUGUGCCACAAUGAGAAAUGGAUCAAUGUAUCAUCUCACCCAGUAUUGGCAUUCUCACUGAGAAAGGAGGCACAGCAGAGGUCUUACGCAUGGAUUCCAGCUUUGCCUGUUGGGAGGACCUUCCCUCAUAGAUAAUAGGAUUGCAGCCUCACCUCUCUUGGAGUCCCUUCCUAUCAUAGCAUGUGGAUGGGGGUGGUGUGGGCAUCUUCCCCAGAAGGCCUCAGUUGAGAUCAAAGAGACCUUGCGUAUCCAUUUGAGCCUACUGCUGUGGCAACGACUUGCUGGGAUUCACGUAGUAAUGUGUGAGGCUCUGACAGCACUGAGAUCUGCCUUUAUAGUCUUUAGGUUUGUUUUCCUGAAUGAAUAGGUUGACCAGUGCCCAAAAGCAGAGCUCAUGCAACAUUCCACUGCUGCUGGGUUCAGCUCAAAGCAGACCCCACACCACUGGCUAAUGGAAGACUGUGCUGCAGAGGUGGUAGAGAGCCCUGCCUAGAAAGACUGAAGUCUUGAGAGUUCCUAUUGUUCUUGGGGUUCUCAGAAGAACCAAAUGCCCCUGAACUCACCUUGGCUCCUGUUUCCAAGUCUCACUGGAACCCAGGAACUCAGGUCCCUCAAGCCUGUAGCACUAACUGUGCCUGUCUGCAUCCCUACUUGCGAUACUCUUCUGCCUGCAGGUCCAUUCACUCACUACCACAAAUACCCACAUCCUGAACAUAGCCGGUGAACCUUGUCUUGCUUUCUGCCUGUGGGUGGAGCUGGCUUCCCACAGCUGCCUCCAUCAGUCAGCUCAGCACGGACAGCCAGCGGGUGCUCCUCUAAUCAGAGCCACAAAACUUCUCCCUCUUACUUGGCUUCCCAUGACAUGCAGCUCACCAGAAGCUGGGUUACAUGUGUCUAGUGGCUAUACCUCCCCCAACCUCCAUCUCACCCCAUCGGUCCAUCUGCUUUAUGUCAAGUACUAUGCUGGCAGUGGGAUGAAGGGAGGCUGGAGUCAUUGGAAGCAUCCUCCUGGAGCCACGUCUUGUGGACAACAGACCUGGGAUCAGCAAAUGGAGAAUGCCUUCUUUCCAGCCAUAUAAAGGAUACACUUCAGAGAAGGGCCUUACAGAAGGGCUUUCUUGUUUAUCUUUCAGGGCCUGUGACAGGGUACCCUCACACAGCUGCUGGCCUAACUAGACCUACUGGGGAACAGAAAGUAGAGUUUCUCAGUAGCAGGGGUAGCUUUUGAGUUAGGCUGCGCCAUGCACAUGAGGCCUAGAAAGACACCGUAGAGCACAGGGAUCCCAUUGGAGCUUUCGGUGAGGACCAUGACAAUGACAAAGGAUUCCGAGCUUGAAGGAUGUAAAAUUCAAGAAUCUAUGCAGGAUCUAACUGGAAGAAGCAUCUUUUAGUCCCAUCUGCACCUUCUGGGAGUGCUGCCUCCCCGGCUGCAUGGGGUCCUUGGCCAUGCUGGUCACUCUGGUAGGCUUGCCCAUUCUUUCUACCAUGUCCUAGGGACCUCCUAUUCUGUCUCUGUGCAUAGAUGUGCAGAAGGUCCCUGGGACUUGAACAAACUUCCCCUUCAUCAGCUAGUUACCUUCCCAGAGCUCCAUCUCUCAUACCAUAACGAGACAGAAACAUGAGUUCCUGAGGUACACAGACCGAACAUUAUGUCUCCCCUGCCUCUCACCAGCAAUAGUUGUCCCUGACUCCUCUCCUGAGUUCUUCACCAUGGUUCUUCCUUCUAGGUGACCCAAGAGCUGGUAUUGAAUAAGGCUCAUUUUAUUAGGGACCAACACCACCAACCAAAAACCAUAUCGCACCAGAGAAGGGAGUAUGACGUCACAUGGUAAGUGGCUACGAGUGAUGCCUCUGAGAAUGGCAGGCUUCACAGUGGGGGAGAUAAAGGGAGGUAUUUUGCUUAGGGGAUGCAAGCAGUGGGGCUAUAGAAUGUGAAAUAUUAGUAUUUUUUGUUGUUGCUGUUGUCCUUGUAUAAUUGAUCUUUUAUACCCAAUGUGAUGAGACUGGAUAGACUUUACUUUGUGGCCAGUUAGCCCAUUGACGUGGUACAAAGAUGGUUUUGAGCCACGUGUCUGCAGUCAUUCUGGUUGGUGAGAUACCUGAUGUUAGAGUAGUAGGUCAGAUUCAAAGCCCAAGUAGUACAGUGUUAUCAUGACUGAUGGGAAUGUGUUUUGCAUAGACCCUUGGCAAAUGCUGCCAUGCAGGAUAAGCUUCUCCAUUGUCGGAGGUGAUUAGUCAUGGCUUCACUGUAGCGCAUGUUUAUCUCUCUGUAUGCUGAUUUGGACAAUGGUGGCGUCAGUGUCCCUGCAUGUCUCCAGCUUCUCUAACUGCUGUGGUUUCAGGUUGACCACACAUUUGGUAUGCAGAUGUACAUGAGUAGCCUCUGCCACUGCUUGCACACCUUUGACUGGGCAGGAGAAGACCAUGAGCUCAGGUCUCCUGUCUGCAUCCAGCCCCACACCUGAGCAGCCCUAGGAUGUGAUCUUGCACAGAGGAAGCCAGGUUUAACACAUCACAGGAAGAUGACUGGAGUUCAAGUGGUCCUCUAGUCCUUUGAUGCUGCCUGGCCAAGGCUGUGCCCGGUCUGUGCCUUCUUUUUUCCCAUCAUGAGGGUCAUCCCUGCUCUCACCUGACACCACACCAUACACUCGCUGUAUCCCCUGUAUCUGGCCUCCUUGUAGACUCCUGCCCAACGGUUGAUUCAGCACUGGCCUUUGCUCCCAGGUGAGCAGCCCAUGCUAGUGCCCAAGUCUGAGCUGAUUUCAUUGAGCCUAUGGGGUGCCAGUGUAUGGUGGUUCUGGUCUUGGCACUUUGGGUGUGUGUGUAUGUGCCAUUGAUGGGUUGGUGAGAAGCCUUCCAUCGAUUGGCAGAGGGAGACCAAUAGGAUUCUACUCCUAACAUCACUGUCUUUCUGUGUGAGCACUGGGUCACAAGUGCUGGUGGUGCCAUGUAUCUGAGAGAUGAAGCCAGGCAGCAGUGAACAAGUGUGUCCACAGGAAGAUGAUAGAUCCAAGUGCAGUGCCAUGAGCUGGUGUGGCUUGCAGGCUAUAGAAAUCAACAAAUGCCACAUCCAUCAAGUGACUCUAUAGUAGUCAUCAUGUGAGGGUUCUUUAUAACAAACUUCAUGUGGAAGGCUUCAUUAUCCCCACCUUACAGAUGGGAAUACCGAGGCUCAGUGAUGUACUCAGUGUCACAAAAGCAUUAGCAGCAAUCAGGACUCACACAUUCUCUUUUGGCUCACUUAUGCGCUCUUCCUACUUUAUUUCUGUUUGACCCACAGAGACAAAAAUGGGCAGUCUUCAUAAGCAGCAGCAGUUCAUGCUAAUCAUGAAUGCCAACUUGACAUGCUUGGGAAGAGGGACCCUCGCUUAAUGAUUGCCUCUGUCAGAUUGGUUCAUGAGUGUGUCUGUGGGGCAUUUUCUUGAUUGUUGAUUGACACAGGACCAUCCAGCUUACCCUGGGUGUCACCCCUAGGCAGGUGAGCCUAGAAGCAAGCCAGUAAGCAGUGUUUCUCUAUGGUUUUGGCUCCACGUUCUUGCCUUAUGCAGACCAGGAAGCAUGAAAGAGCUUGCUUUUACAGCAAAGCUCUUCCUUGCCCCAAAUCUAACCUAUUUUCCCUCAGUUGAGCUCAGAGCCCUCAGGAUCCAGUCACCUCCCCAAAGCCCCACCUGUGCCCCCUGAUGAACUGGGAAUCCAGCCUAUAACAGGGGAGUUCUUAGAGGACAAACAUUUCAGAGCCAAAUCCUAAGAGAAGCCCCAGAGAAUUGUGGGAACUCAUGGGAUUCUGUCUGGGAACAUAACAAAAUGGCCUCCGAUGCUGAGAAAUCUUGAAGCCUCAUUCGUUGGGAUAUGCAUUCCAUGGCAGAGAAACUUGCCACUUCUUCCUCUCUGGAGAAAUAGCGUUUUGGUACUCUGGAGCUGGUGUUUGAAGCCCCACCUUCCAAGUGGGAGGAGCAACUGGGUAGGUGGAGGAAGGGUAGGAGCACUAGCUAGGGUACAACAAGGGUAGCAGCAGGUGAGGAAGAGCUGGUUUGUUUUUCCCAAAGACUUCUCUCUGACUCUGCCAUGGGAAGACAAGGGUGGGCUUUGUGACAUCCAAGGUCAUUGUGGGGAUGGUUAUGAUCACCCUGACAGCAUUUGAGCACCUACCCAACUCUAGGGAUUUGAAAGUAUCUUCAGUGGCCUGUUGUCUACCCCACAGCAGUGAGAGGCUGGCCUAAGCCUGCUCUCUGCUUCCACCUAGUAUCAAGUAGUCCAUCAAUGGGGCAGUGAGUUUUAUAGGUCUUUACUAUAAGCCUCCUCUCUGGUAAAUACAAAACUCAAGGAAAACAACAAGUGUUUGGACUUUGCUGAGGACACAGUUAAUAUUUGCAUCAGAGGACCAUCAACACAUGGAAAAGGUGCUAAUCCAGGCAGUCCACCUGAGUACAGAGGAGGAGGAGCGCUGAAUGACUGAAAACUGCCUCUUCUUACUACAAGCAGAAUGUCCUUCCUUGACUGCGUUCUUCCGCCUGGGCAGGAUGCCUGUCUUGAAGAGUCCUUUAAUUUAUCAGUGAAGGUUCUAUUCUUGGAGCUUUAUUUCAGAUGAAGACUUGCUGCCUUAGCCAUCUCUGUGGAAAUGGGGCCAAGAAGACCUGUGGACAGCAGCGCCUAAUGCAUCUUUGGGAAUGCUUCAUCUGCCCAACAUUGUGGAACAAGAGGACGUGCUAUACAGAAGACUUUCUCAAAUAGCUAGCAUUUGCCAACUUGAGCUGCAAAGCACAGAUACACAAGCCAAUUCUGAUAGACUCAGAAAUACUUGCAAGCAUUUCUAAGGGUCUCAGAACUGUUGACAUUUCUUUCUCACUGGACCAAGGACUCUACCGACACCAAGUACCAGAUGCAGAACUGAAGCCCUAGGCUGUACCUGUAGGUCAUGGAGGAGCACCUGCUCGAACUGUUCACUAAGAGUCAACAAAGAUGAGAGCCAUCUAGAACAUUCCUCACAAGGUCUGAGGGAAUAGUUGAGGCCAUCUGGCAUGUGUCCUUGCUCAUGAAGAUAUAUGAGAAUGACAGAGGCCAGGCCUGAGGAAGAUGGUGGAUGCUAGAGAGAGUGGACAGCAACUGGAUGGAAAGUGGAAGACUGAUGUGCAACCCUGAGUCCUAAUCAGCUGGCUCAGAGCCCCUGUGAGCAGACAUUGUGCUAUAAAGAACCCUAAUGUAAGCAGACACUUUGUAGGGCUCUAAUAUGCUAUCCUGUGUUCCCUAUAAGUAUACACUAUACAGAAGCCUAGUAUCCCACCCUGGGAUCCCCAAAGAGUAUUCAGUGUACAUAAUCCUGAAACCUGAAUCAGACAAAGCUGUUUAUUUAUGACAUCAUACUGAGACUGAGGCAAAACCACUUCUGGGAUCAUUCCUGGACAUUACAAAGAUAAGUCCACAGCAGCCACAGAUGCCACUUCCCUGGCUCAUUUGAUGACUAGAAGAGCUGCUGCUUUCCUCAGGCUUCCUGUCAGAGACUCCUAUCCAGUUGAACACCCUUUCAGGGUCCCAGCGGGCCUUUGUCUUAGUUAUAGUUUCUAUUGCUGACCAUGAACAAAAGCAACUUGGGGAGGAAAGAAUCUAUUUCAUUCUAUAGCCAUAUAUAGUCCAUCAUCUAGGGAAAUGAGGGUAGGAGCUCAAGACUGGCACUGAUGCAUAGACCAUGGAAGACUGCCUGCUCACUUAUAACGUGAUCACCCUGCUCUUCUACACCACCGAUGACCACCCAUCAAAGGGUGUCACCACCUAUGGUGAGCUGGACCUAAUCAUCAACCAUCAGUCAAGAAAAAGCACCAUAGGCUUGUUCGUAGGCUAAUCUUGUUAGGAGCAUUUUCUCAAUUUAGAUUCCCUCCUCCAAAAUGGCUGUAGCUUGUGUCGAGUUGACAGAGAACUAGCCAGCACAGACUUAGUAGCAUCUAUAUUCCUACUUCCCUACCAAAAACCUACCUCAGCUCCCUGUCCUGUGUCUGUCUCAUAUUAAAUUCAUUAAGUCCCAGAAUUUUCUUGAGUGUGCCCUGGGUGGUCACAGGCAGAAGGGUAUCCUCUACAUCCUGAGUUGGGACAUCACUGCAAGGCUUGGGGCAGCUAGCAAGCAGGGGCAUGCACAGGGGCUGUGAGGACUGACAAUUCAGCAGGGUAGAUGGGGAGAAUGCAGCUGCCUUUGUGGGAACUAUCUGGCCCAAACAAUAAUUUCCACAGUAACCAGGAAUGUAGAUGGGUACUAAACCCCAGGCCAUGAAGCAUGUUUUAUUCCUAGAUACCCCCAAAAGAAACUGAAUCCCAUCCCACAUGGCUUCAAUGGAGCCCUCUCUUCUGCCUUCAAAGGUAGGAAUUGAAAAGAGAAUACUGAAGUAAAUGCUUCCCUGUUUAGCCAGCCCUGGGUGAGCAUGCGGUACACAAGCUGGAGCUAUCACAG
rnacentral:sRNA from 1 species